AUUGAACGCUGGCGGCAGGCCUAACACAUGCAAGUCGAACGAGUGGCGGACGGGUGAGUAAUGUAUGGGAAACUGCCUGAUGGAGGUGGAUAACUACUGGAAACGGUAGCUAAUACCGCAUACCAUCGGAUGUGCCCAGAUGGGAUUAGCUAGUAGGUGGGGUAAAGGCUCACCUAGGCGACGAUCCCUAGCUGGUCUGAGAGGAUGACCAGCCACACGUGAACUUAGACACGGUCCAGACUCCUACGGGAGGCAGCAUUGGGGAAUAUUGCACAAUUGGCGCAAGCCUGAUGCAGCCAUGGCGGGGGUAUGAAGAAGGCCUUCGGGUUGUAAAGUACUUUCAGCGAGGAGGCGUUACUCGCAGAAGAAGCACCGGCUAACUCCGUGCCAGCCGCCGCGGUAAUUC
rnacentral:rRNA from 1 species